AACUGAAACAUCUAAGUACCCCGAGGAAAAGAAAUCAACCGAGAUUCCGAAAGUAGCGGCGAGCGAAAUUGGACUAGCCCUUAAGCUUUACACGCGUUAGACGAACGGUCUGGAAAGUCCGACGAUACAGGGUGAUAGUCCCGUAGUUGACGACGUGUGUUCAGUGAAAUCGAGUAGGGCGGGACACGUGAUAUCCUGUCUGAAUAUGGGGGGACCAUCCUCCAAGGCUAAAUACUACUGACUGACCGAUAGUGAACCAGUACCGUGAGGGAAAGGCGAAAAGAACCCCUGUGAGGGGAGUGAAAUAGAACCUGAAACCGUGUACGUACAAGCAGUAGGAGCAGGCUUUGUCCUGUGACUGCGUACCUUUUGUAUAAUGGGUCAGCGACUUAUAUUCAGUGGCAAGGUUAACCAUCUAGGGGAGCCGUAGGGAAACCGAGUCUUAACUGGGCGUUCAGUCUCUGGAUAUAGACCCGAAACCAGGUGAUCUAGCCAUGGGCAGGUUGAAGGUUGAGUAACAUCAACUGGAGGACCGAACCGACUAAUGUUGAAAAAUUAGCGGAUGACUUGUGGCUAGGGGUGAAAGGCCAAUCAAACCUGGAGAUAGCUGGUUCUCCCCGAAAGCUAUUUAGGUAGCGCCUCGGACGAAUACUACUGGGGGUAGAGCACUGUUAAGGCUAGGGGGUCAUCCCGACUUACCAACCCUUUGCAAACUCCGAAUACCAGUAAGUACUAUCCGGGAGACACACGGCGGGUGCUAACGUCCGUCGUGGAGAGGGAAACAACCCAGACCGCCAGCUAAGGUCCCAAAUUACUACUAAGUGGGAAACGAUGUGGGAAGGCUCAGACAGCCAGGAUGUUGGCUUAGAAGCAGCCAUCAUUUAAAGAAAGCGUAAUAGCUCACUGGUCGAGUCGGCCUGCGCGGAAGAUGUAACGGGGCUAAGUAGUAAACCGAAGCUGCGGCAAUAUACUUUUGUAUAUUGGGUAGGGGAGCGUUCUGUAAGCGGUUGAAGGUGUGUGGUAACGCAUGCUGGACGUAUCAGAAGUGCGAAUGCUGACAUGAGUAACGAUAAAGGGGGUGAAAAACCUCCUCGCCGGAAGACCAAGGGUUCCUGUCCAACGUUAAUCGGGGCAGGGUAAGUCGACCCCUAAGGCGAGGCCGAAAGGCGUAGUCGAUGGGAAACGGGUUAAUAUUCCCGUACUUCUUACAAUUGCGAUGGGGGGACGGAGAAGGCUAGGUGGGCCUGGCGACGGUUGUCCAGGUUCAAGUGCGUAGGCUUAAGAGUUAGGUAAAUCCGGCUCUUUCUAAGGCUGAGACACGACGUCGAGCACCUACGGGUGUGAAGUCAUUGAUGCCAUGCUUCCAGGAAAAGCCUCUAAGCUUCAGAUUGUAAGGAAUCGUACCCCAAACCGACACAGGUGGUCGGGUAGAGAAUACCAAGGCGCUUGAGAGAACUCGGGUGAAGGAACUAGGCAAAAUGGUACCGUAACUUCGGGAGAAGGUACGCUCUUGAUGGUGAAGUCCCUUGCGGAUGGAGCUGACGAGAGUCGCAGAUACCAGGUGGCUGCAACUGUUUAUUAAAAACACAGCACUGUGCAAAAUCGUAAGAUGACGUAUACGGUGUGACGCCUGCCCGGUGCCGGAAGGUUAAUUGAUGGGGUUAGACUUCGGUCGAAGCUCUUGAUCGAAGCCCCGGUAAACGGCGGCCGUAACUAUAACGGUCCUAAGGUAGCGAAAUUCCUUGUCGGGUAAGUUCCGACCUGCACGAAUGGCGUAAUGAUGGCCACGCUGUCUCCACCCGAGACUCAGUGAAAUUGAAAUCGCUGUGAAGAUGCAGUGUACCCGCGGCUAGACGGAAAGACCCCGUGAACCUUUACUACAGCUUGGCACUGAACAUUGACCCUACAUGUGUAGGAUAGGUGGGAGGCUUUGAAGCACGUACGCCAGUAUGUGUGGAGCCGUCCUUGAAAUACCACCCUUGUAGUGUUGAUGUUCUAACGUCGACCCCUUAUCGGGGUUGCGGACAGUGCCUGGUGGGUAGUUUGACUGGGGCGGUCUCCUCCCAAAGAGUAACGGAGGAGCACGAAGGUGGGCUAAUCACGGUUGGACAUCGUGAGGUUAGUGCAAUGGCAUAAGCCCGCUUGACUGCGAGAAUGACAAUUCGAGCAGGUGCGAAAGCAGGUCAUAGUGAUCCGGUGGUUCUGAAUGGAAGGGCCAUCGCUCAACGGAUAAAAGGUACUCCGGGGAUAACAGGCUGAUACCGCCCAAGAGUUCAUAUCGACGGCGGUGUUUGGCACCUCGAUGUCGGCUCAUCACAUCCUGGGGCUGAAGUCGGUCCCAAGGGUAUGGCUGUUCGCCAUUUAAAGUGGUACGCGAGCUGGGUUUAGAACGUCGUGAGACAGUUCGGUCCCUAUCUGCCGUGGGCGUUGGAAGAUUGAAGGGGGCUGCUCCUAGUACGAGAGGACCGGAGUGGACGAACCUCUGGUGUUCGGGUUGUGUCGCCAGACGCAUUGCCCGGUAGCUAAGUUCGGAAUCGAUAACCGCUGAAAGCAUCUAAGCGGGAAGCGAGCCCUGAGAUGAGUCUUCCCUGAUACUUUAAGUAUCCUAAAGGGUUGUCGGAGACUACGACGUUGAUAGGUCAGGUGUGUAAGUGCUGUGAGGCAUUGAGCUAACUGAUACUAAUUGCCCGUGAGGCUUAACCAUACAACACCCAAGGGGUUU
rnacentral:rRNA from 1 species